rnacentral:rRNA from 1 species
UACGGAGGGGGCUAGCGUUAUUCGGAAUUAUUGGGCGUAAAGGGCGCGUAGGCGGCCCGGUAAGUCAAAGGUGAAAUCCCUCGGCUCAACUGAGGAACUGCCUUUGAAACUGUCGGGCUUGAGGCCGGGAGGGGGUAGCGGAAUUCCCAGUGUAGCGGUGAAAUGCGCAGAUAUCGGGAGGAACACCCGUAGCGAAGGCGGCACUCUGGGCCGGUACUGACGCUGAGGAGCGAAAGCGUGGGGAGCAAACAGG